CUACGGGGGGAGCAAGCGUUGUUGCGGAUUUACUCGGGCUGUAAAGGGGCGCAGGUAGGCGGUCGAGCAGCAAGUCAGUUGUGAAAUCGUCCGGGCUUAACUCGGAAAGGUCAACUGAUACUGUGCGACUAGAGUGCAGAAGGGGCAACUGGAAUUCUCGGUGUAGCGGUGAAAUGCGUAGAUAUUGGGAGGAAUACCGGUGG
rnacentral:rRNA from 1 species